GGGGCUUUAUGGGGUCCUAUGGGGGCUUAAAGUGGUCCUAUGGGCGUCUAUGGGGCCCUUAUGGGGUCCUUAUGGGGUCCUAUGGGGCUCUACGGGGUCCUAUGGGGUCCUUAUGGGGCUCUAUGGGGUCCUUAUGGGGUUCUAUGGGGCUUUAUGGGGGCCUAUGGGGUCCUUAUGAGGCUCUAUGGGGUCCUAUGGGGUUCUAUGGGGCUCUAUGGGGGCUUAAAGGAGUCUUUAUGGGGUUCUUAUGGGGUCCUAUGGGGUUCUAUGGGGUCCU
ensembl:lncRNA